rnacentral:rRNA from 1 species
GUCGAGCGGUAAGGCCUUUCGGGGUACACGAGCGGCGAACGGGUGAGUAACGCGUGGGUGAUCUGCCCUGCACUCUGGGAUAAGCCCGGGAAACUGGGUCUAAUACCGGAUAUGACCGCAUGCUGCAUGGUGUGUGGUGGAAAGAUUUAUCGGUGCAGGAUGGGCCCGCGGCCUAUCAGCUUGUUGGUGGGGUAAUGGCCUACCAAGGCGACGACGGGUAGCCGACCUGAGAGGGUGACCGGCCACACUGGGACUGAGACACGGCCCAGACUCCUACGGGAGGCAGCAGUGGGGAAUAUUGCACAAUGGGCGGAAGCCUGAUGCAGCGACGCCGCGUGAGGGAUGAAGGCCUUCGGGUUGUAAACCUCUUUCAGCAGGGACGAAGCGUGAGUGACGGUACCUGCAGAAGAAGCACCGGCUAACUACGUGCCAGCAGCCGCGGUAAUACGUAGGGUGCGAGCGUUGUCCGGAAUUACUGGGCGUAAAGAGUUCGUAGGCGGUUUGUCGCGUCGUUUGUGAAAACCCGGGGCUCAACUUCGGGCUUGCAGGCGAUACGGGCAGACUUGAGUGUUUCAGGGGAGACUGGAAUUCCUGGUGUAGCGGUGAAAUGCGCAGAUAUCAGGAGGAACACCGGUGGCGAAGGCGGGUCUCUGGGAAACAACUGACGCUGAGGAACGAAAGCGUGGGUAGCAAACAGGAUUAGAUACCCUGGUAGUCCACGCCGUAAACGGUGGGCGCUAGGUGUGGG